rnacentral:rRNA from 1 species
AUUGAACGCUGGCGGCAUGCUUUACACAUGCAAGUCGAACGGCAGCGCGGGCUUCGGCCUGGCGGCGCGUGGCGAACGGGUGAGUAAUUCAUCGGAACGUACCCAGUAGUUGGGGAUAGCCCGGCGAAAGCCGGAUUAAUACCGCAUACGACCUGAGGGUGAAAGCGGGGGACCGAAAGGCCUCGCGCUAUUGGAGCGGCCGAUGUCGGAUUAGCUAGUUGGUGGGGUAAAGGCUUACCAAGGCGACGAUCCGUAGCUGGUCUGAGAGGACGACCAGCCACACUGGGACUGAGACACGGCCCAGACUCCUACGGGAGGCAGCAGUGGGGAAUUUUGGACAAUGGGGGCAACCCUGAUCCAGCCAUGCCGCGUGCGGGAAGAAGGCCUUCGGGUUGUAAACCGCUUUUGUUCGGGGAGAAAUCCUCUGGGCUAAUACCCCGGGGGGAUGACGGUACCGGAAGAAUAAGCACCGGCUAACUACGUG